CCCUGGAAAGAUGAGCACAUAUGCAAGAUAUGUAAUGAACCACAAUGCUGUGAGGAUCAAGAAAAAGAUAAAUGAUUUUAAAUCUGUCAACUCUUAAUAUCUAAUAUGUAAAAUACGAUUCUUUUAGUAAACUCUCCCUCCCAUGUAAGCUGUUGGUCCCAUAAAAGACCAAAACACUACAUCUGAUCCAGACACAAACUAAACCUCCACAGGAACCGCUUCCUCUUUUGGAUGUGGUUCUACAGAAAACACAACAGGAUCCGAUUCUUUAAAGCCUUUGUCAUUUGUGCUGCUUGAGUUGAAAUGAAAACCUUCAUCAAAAAGGAACAUGGAAGACAACCGACUGUCAUGGACCCACAGCUGUACAUAAGUUCCAGUAAUGUUAGAUUGCAUCAUCAGUUUGAGAUGACUCCCAACCGAGUCAGCAGAAAAGCAGCUUUUCAUGCUGUGAUGACUGUAGAAGUCCGGCCCUAGACAGGUUUUUACACUAAAUGUUUUUAUUUUUAUAUUAUGUUACACUUUUAUACCUUGUUAUUAACAAAUUUACAAUGCAUUGUUACAUUAACCUACAUGGAGCUUGUGACCAGUUGAAACCAGUCAGAGGACGGUUCAAGGGCUCGAUCAGUACUUUCCCCACUGAAAAACAAAGCUAUAAAUUCUCUGUCGGCAGGAGCAGGGCCAUGGACACUGACCAAUAAGGUAUCAAGGACUAUGGGGGGGUUUCCUGUCCUGACAAACGUUGGCCUGAAGCCAUAUAUGGCCCACCUGGGGGGUUAUAUGUGCAUUUUACAGGCCUUCGUCUUUUCAUGGCAGAGAUUCAAUGUUUUAUUAAAAGUUCAUUGAAAAAUGUGACGAACUUUUACAAGUUUACAAGUAUUAACAUUAAAUACAGCUGUCAUUUAAAUAUUUGUUUAAAGUGUGUCUGCAUACCUUUGCCUCCUCCAGGUUACCAACUUUGGCGGCUGAGCGGAUCACGGAGUUGAAAAAGGCGGCAUCCAGCUUCACCCGAUGCUCUUUGGCCACUUUCAGCAACACCUGCAGACACUGCUCACCUGGCUCCAUCAUGUCCGCCAACAAAGUCAGAGUUUUCAGGUCUGGACUGAGUCCACUGGCUACCAUCUUCUCCAGGAAGCCUUUGGCUCCACCAAUGAGAUCCAGCCUGUCAGACGCUCCAUCCACAGAGCCCAGCGAGAUAACAGCCGCUCUCUUCCCCUCAAAAAGCUCCAGCAGGUUGGGUGCUGAAGAGUCAGCGAUCAAGUCAUCAGGGAGUGAGAUGUUUUCUGUUUGUCUGACUGGUAUCAGACUGGUUGGGUGGUCUUUGUGACCCGGCCUGCUGUCCCGCUGACCACCAGGAUGUGACUGAAGAAGCAGCUGCCUCUCUAGAAGGUCCACGUCUACAACACCUUUGCCUCUCGCGCCCGAGACAUCCCCUCUUCCCUUCUGCCCUCCAAAGUCAGUGUGAAGUAAAAUACUGGCGGCCAAAGCAGGAUCUCCAAUCCCACAAUCCCUGGCAGUUCUUAAAAGCAAAUUAUAGUUCUUUGAAUCUGGAAGAAUUCCUGAGAGAAGCAUCUGGCGCCACACCUGCAAAAAACAAAAAGCUGUGGAAGUUUAAGAUGAUCACGUUUUCACUGAACACCACUUUGGGAGAAUGAGCAGGAAAAUGAGUCACACUCAUUGAUGCAAUUUUGACUGUGUAGUUGGUGGUUUGGGUGUCACAAUAGUCUGCA